CUGCAAAGAGAGGCCCAUUGGACACGCAAACUUUAUAUGCCUCAGUACAGGGGAACGCCAGGGCCAAAAAGUGGGAAUGGGUGGGUAGGGGAGUGGGGGGCAGGGUAUGGGGGACUUUUGGGAUAGCAUUGGAGAUGUAAUUGAGGAAAAUACGUAAUAAAAAAUAUUUAAAGAAAAAAAAAAAAAGAAUGGUAAUAUUAGACCAGAAGUUAGAAAGGACGUGUGGGAUGAUGUACUCUGGAAGCUACUGCAACCCAAGAGCAAACUUUAUUUUAUAGGGUGAUGAUAAUAUUCCCUGGAUCAUAUUCAAGUCCUGUGUGAGGUCAAACAAAGGCCUGCAGUCUGGGGAUAAAGGACAAUGGACUGGUUCCUGACACCCCAUAGGAGUCUACUAAAGAGAAAAUAAAAUGGGCUUUGCAGCAGUUGAGUAUAAUGGUUACAGAAUGAUAUUCUGCAGUUAAAAUAAUACUACAGAGCCUAAAUAUUCAGCCACUGUCUAGCCUUCAUACGUUCUGGCACUGGUGCUGUCAAGGCUCAGCCUCUAA
rnacentral:lncRNA from 1 species